rnacentral:rRNA from 1 species
UACGGGGGGGGGUAAGCGUUGUUCGGAAUUACUGGGCGUAAAGGGCUCGUAGGCGGCCAACUAAGUCAGACGUGAAAUCCCUCAGCUUAACUCCGAAACUGCAUUCGAUACUGCCGUGCUUGAGGACUGGAGAGGAGACUGGAAUUUACGGUGUAGCGGUGAAAUGCGUAGAUAUCGUAAGGAAGACCAGUGGCGAAGGCGGGUCUCUGGACAGUUCCUGACGCUGAGGCACGAAGGCCAGGGGAGCAAACGGG